CCAGCUGUCACGCAACCAAUGAAAUUACGAGGAAUUGCAUAGUUUUCUUAUAAAAAGACGUGCGAGUCGCGUAUUUUCAGCAUUCGAUGGACUAAAACCUUCGGGAAGUUCCUGUUUACAUUCAUCAUUAUUGGAAUUAUUUUGUUAGAAAGUAGCGAAGGUCGAUACACGAAAAUUAUAGAACCCGAUCGAUCCGAUUUGAAAGGAAGAAACUUAGAUGCUGGUGUUGGUGUUGGUGUUGGUGUAGGUUUGUUGGAAGAUGAGCAAAGUAUAGCCAAUGGUCAAGUUGUUGAUAAUUCACAACAAGAUGACGAAAGAAAGAAAAUUGAAGAAAACUCCAUGGCUGGAAUUAAAGGAGUUUGACUCCGAGGUGGACCGAUUAUCGGCGAUCUUCCGGCUUCGCUUCUUUAACAUCCGUUGGAUCGUCCGAAAAGAUUUUGUAAUUUGAAUAUUCAAAUAUUAAUAAAGAACAUUUGGCUCGAGA